UACAGGGGGGGCAAGCGUUGUUCGGAAUUACUGGGCGUAAAGGGUCUGUAGGUGGCCAACUAAGUCAGACGUGAAAUCCCUCAGCUUAACUGGGGAACUGCGUCUGAUACUGGAUGGCUCGAGUGUGGGAGAGGAAUGCGGAAUUCCAGGUGUAGCGGUGAAAUGCGUAGAGAUUUGGAGGAACACCAGUGGCGAAGGCGACUUUCUGGUCUGUAACUGACGCUGAGGCGCGAAAGCGUGGGGAGCAAACAGG
rnacentral:rRNA from 1 species